rnacentral:misc_RNA from 1 species
AAUAAAAAUCGAUUCUGUUUACCUUGUCGUAACAUUUUCGGAAUUGGGUCAUCUUGCACCUUCAGGUUCAAGUGGCUUAAAAUUGAUCGUUUUUGGUAUGAUUUAAGCGUAUUUAAGAUCUCUUAUCACGCGCUUGAUGAGUAUCGGAUGUUUAUUAGGCAUGACCAUGUCCAUGGCUUCGCGCCUAUAAUUUUUCAUG